rnacentral:rRNA from 1 species
GCAAAAUCAAGCCCAACCCCCCCCCACCAAAAACCCAUCAAACAACCAAAACAUUUGACAUACGAAAGUAGCUGCGACCGAACCCGACCCAAGACGCCAUAAAAACAGUACUGCAAAGAAAAAGUGAAAUAAGGUUACACCAAAGCAAAAAAAAGCAGGAAUUAAUCCCCGUACCUCUUGCAUCACAGUUUAGCAAGAACACGCAAACAAGACGCCCCCAAGUCUGCCCCCCCGAACGCAAGUGAGCUAUUUUUAGACAGUCUUAAGGACGAACCCAUUUCUGUAGCAAAAGAACGGGAAGAUUUAAAAAUAGCGGUGAAAAGCCAACCGAACUUGCUGAUAGCUGGUUGCCUGACACAUGAACUUAAGUUCAAGCCUGACACACAUCAUAAACAAAUAUGAGCCCUUUAACCCAGGAACUAGUCAACGAAGGUACAGCUCCGUUGACACAGGAUACAGCCUUCACCAGAGAGAAAACAACUACAAAAACACUGUAGGCCUCAAAACAGCCACCAUAAAAUAUCACGUUAUAGUAACACAACAAAAAUAAAACACAGUGUUUCCUCCUGCCCAACUCUCAGGCCACUCUAUUCCACCCAACAUAGAAGAAACAAUGCUAAAAUUAGUAAUAAGAAAUGCUCUCCACAGACAAAAAUUUUUCAUCAUCAGACACACAGACACAUGAAAUCUUCUCCCUACACAUGAAACACACUGUAAAGCCAACCAAGGAUUGUCCACGGAAGACCUAAAGCCUAAAAAGGAACUCGGCAAACCACCUCUCCAACUGUUUACCAAAAACAUAGCCUUUAGCCCCACCACAAUUAAAGGUACCGCCUGCCCAAUGAGGAAACCCUUAAACGGCCGCGUAUAUAACCGUGCAAAGGUAGCAAAAUCAUUCGUCCCACAAAUAGGGACCAGUAUGAACGGCAACAUGAGAGAGAAACUGUCUCUUUAGGCCCGCCAAUGAACUUGACCCCCCUGUACAAACGCAGGGAUACAAAAACAAGACAAAAAGACCCUGUGAAACUUCAAGUGCCCAUCAAACUAAUGACCAAGACACUUUAGGUUGGGGCAACCUAAGAGAAACACAAACCUCACUACCAAUCGCACGGCAAACAAGCCAACCGGCCACACCAACAGACCCAGUAUAACUGACUAAAGAACCAAGCUACUCCAGGGAUAACAGCGCCACAUUCUUGAAGAGUCCAUAUCAACAAGAAUUCCUACGACCUCGAUGUUGGAUUAGGGUAUCCUAAUGGCGCAAAAGCUAUUAAGGGCUCGUUUGUUCAACGAUUAAAACCCCACAUGAUCUGAGUUCAGACCGGAGCAAUCCAGGUCGGUCUAUAUCUGUUUAAAGCCUCACCCAGUACGAAAGGACCGAUGAAGCAGGGACUACUUAACAUACGCCCCCUACACCAAACACUGCACACAAAUAAAACCACCAACAAUCAAUAACCCCAAGAAAAGGGCUUGCCCCUCAUCAACACGUUCGCCUGG